rnacentral:rRNA from 1 species
UACGUAGGGUGCGAGCGUUGUCCGGAAUUAUUGGGCGUAAAGGGCUCGUAGGCGGUCUGUCACGUCGGGAGUGAAAACUCAGGGCUUAACCCUGAGCCUGCUUCCGAUACGGGCUGACUAGAGGUAUGCAGGGGGAGAACGGAAUUCCUGGUGUAGCGGUGAAAUGCGCAGAUAUCAGGAGGAACACCGGUGGCGAAGGCGGUCUCUGGGCAUUACCUGACGCUGAGGAGCGAAAGCGUGGGGAGCGAACAGG